GGCUCUAUACGUUCAGAAAAAAAAUUGGAUUUUGACACAACCUGAAACGAAAUUGAAUUCAAGUCAGAUAAAAAAAUAAAAAAAUAACUAAAAUAAAAUAAUAAAUUAAAGAUUAAGGAAGCGAAUAAAGAAGAUAAAUGGAAAGAUAGAACGUGGCGUGUAGAAGUCCUAAGAAGCCUUGGAAACACGAAGAAUCCACAACCCCC
rnacentral:lncRNA from 1 species